rnacentral:rRNA from 1 species
GCCAACGGCCAUACCACGUUGAAUACACCGGUUCUCGUCCGAUCACCGAAGUUAAGCAACAUCGGACGUGGUUAGUACCUGGAUGGGUGACCGCCUGGGAACACCGCGUGCUGUUGGCA